GACAGAGGGUGCAAACGUUGUUCGGAAUUACUGGGCGUAAAGCGUGUGUAGGCGGUGGACAAAGUCGGAUGUGAAAGCCCUGGGCUCAACCCAGGAAGUGCACCCGAUACUGGUUCGCUAGAGUCCCGGAGAGGUUGGUGGAAUUCUUGGUGUAGAGGUGAAAUUCGUAGAUAUCAAGAGGAACACCGGUGGCGAAGGCGGCCAACUGGACGAGGACUGACGCUGAGACACGAAAGCGUGGGGAGCAAACAGG
rnacentral:rRNA from 1 species